rnacentral:rRNA from 1 species
UACGUAGGCAGCAAGCGUUGUUCGGAGUUACUGGGCGUAAAGGGUGCGUAGGCGGCCAAUUAAGUCUGGUGUGAAAUCUCCCGGCUCAACUGGGAGGGUGCGCCGGAAACUGAAUGGCUCGAGUGUGGGAGAGGAGAGUGGAAUUCCUGGUGUAGCGGUGAAAUGCGUAGAUAUCAGGAGGAACACCGGUGGUGUAAACGGCUCUCUGGACCAUGACUGACGCUGAGGCAUGAAAGCGUGGGUAGCAAAC